AACAUAUAGACUUAAAUGCUCUUUUGAUCCAUUAACUUUAUUUUAAGUAUCGGCUUGGUCCCUUAAGUAAUAAAAAGUCUGUUUAGGUCCCUUAAUUCAAAAAAAAUGUUAAGUUUAGAGACCAAACUAAUACUAAUUAAAUAAGUUAAGGGACCAAAAUUUAACUUUCUUUGAAUUAAAUUAACAGAAAGAACGAAACUGAUACUUUAAAUAAAGUUAAGGGACUUAAACAGACUUUUUACUAUUAUGGGA
rfam:Medicago truncatula strain A17 chromosome 3, whole genome shotgun sequence.